rnacentral:lncRNA from 1 species
AAACUCUAUAAUAUGCCCGUUGAAAGUUUCUCCAACAUUCGUAUUGAGUUCGACUCAUCGAAUUUGAACACCCAUAUGACCUUUCCGAAAACUUCCUCAACCUGCACUGUUUUCUGGUGGAGUUUUUGAGAGCAACUGCCGAGACUGUAGCUGUACUUUCAAUGAUGAAAAAGAGAGCUUCUUCGGCAGAAAGCCUGUUGGAAGUUACAAAGAGUCGAGACAGUAGCAAAGAAUUGCAAUCUCUAGCGUGGUUUGGACCCUUGAAAUACUGUAGUAUUUCACGGGUUCCACUUCAUCAC